AUUGAACGCUGGCGGCAGGCCUAACACAUGCAAGUCGAACGCGUGGCGGACGGGUGAGUAAUGUCUGGGAAACCGCCUGAUGGAGGGGGAUAACCACUGGAAACGGUAGCUAACACCGUAUACUCUCAGAUGUGCCCAGAUGGGUUGCGCUUGUUGGUGGGGUAACGGCUCAUCAAGGCGACGACCCCUACCUGGGCUGAGGGGAUGACCAUCCAAACUGGAACUGAGACACGGCCCAGACUCCUACGGGAGGCAGCAGUGGGGAAUAUUGCACAAUGGGCGCAAGCCGGAUGCAGCCAUGCCGCGUGUGUGAAGAAGGCCUUCGGGUUGUAAAGUACUUUCAGCGGGGAGGCGUUACCCGCAGAAGAAGCACCGGCUAACUCCGUGCCAGCAGCCGCGGUAAUAC
rnacentral:rRNA from 1 species